UACGAAGGGGGCUAGCGUUGCUCGGAAUUACUGGGCGUAAAGGGCGCGUAGGCGGCUUUGUUAGUCAGGCGUGAAAAUCCUGGGCUCAACCUGGGGACUGCGCUUGAUACGGCAGGGCUAGAGGACGGAAGAGGCUCGCGGAAUUCCCAGUGUAGAGGUGAAAUUCGUAGAUAUUGGGAAGAACACCGGUGGCGAAGGCGGCGAGCUGGUCCGUUACUGACGCUGAGGCGCGACAGCGUGGGGAGCAAACAGG
rnacentral:rRNA from 1 species